CCCAGACAGAGGCUCACGUCAGCGCCGCACUCCCGCUGCGGCGGCCGCCCUCGCCCCCGAAACGCACGAGGUUGCGUCGGGCGGUGUUUUACUUUAAACGGAAAAAGAGAGGACGCCGAGAUGCCCCUGGAAAAAUCACGACUGAAACUCGCUGCGUCAUGACCCUCCCACCGGCUUCCGCCGCUUUUUAAUUACACCAGUUCUCUCCGAGCGCUGAUUGGGCAGUUCUAACCCGCCCGCACGAUGACGCGACGGAAACUCCUUCUCCCAUUGGGGGCGGUGGAGAGGAGGAGCCAGAGGCGGGGCUGCUUGCCCGGGAGCUAAAAAUAAAUUCGGACUGGGACCGCGCGGUUGGGCACCAGUGAGGUUCGAAGGCUUCGAACUUCGUAAGGGUCGGUGGCGGACGGGAGGGGCGGAGAGAAGCUAGCUCCCCAGUGAUUGGUUAGGUCGGGGUGAGGAGGCGGGUCAAGGUGUGAGAGAUGCGGUGAUUGGUGGAACGCUGAGAGGUUCGUGGACUCCCGCCCUCUGAGCCCUUAAAAGGCGCGAGGCGCGUGGCGGUUGCUCGCUGGGCUGUUGGUUGUGGUGCUGAUGAAGGGCCCUGGGUGUGGCACCAAUUUUGGGGUACAAGAAGGGACGCCAGCCCGGGAGGCCUGGUUCCUGCAAAAAGAAGGUGAAAGCCGGGCCCAAGAAAUGAGGAUGCGAUCAGAGCUUUCCGUCAUGGUUUUGGGAGGAAGACCACAGAGGUAAAGUGCCAUUUUCAUCACAUCAAAGGUGCAUCGUAUCCCUGUGACCGACCACUGUGGUGGUUGUCCUUGAUCACCUGUCUGAGGUGGUGACUGUCAGCUUCCCCACAGUACUUGGGCCUCUCACUGUCGUGGCCUCUCCCGCUGCGGAGCACAGGCUCCGGACCCGCAGGCUCAGCGGCCAUGGCUCAUGGGCCUAACUGUUCCACGGCAUGUGGGAUCUUCCCGGACCAGGGCACGAACCCAUGUCCCCUGCAUCAGCAGGCGGACUCUCAACCACUGCACCACCAGGGAAGCCCUGUAAGUUCUUUAACACGCUUAUCGUAGUUAUUUUAAAAUCUUUGUCUGCUAAUUGUAAUGUCUGGAUCAUUCAUAGGUCUACUUUUAUUGAAUGACUUUUCUCUUGAUUAUAGGUCAUUUUUUGUUUCUUUUCACAUCUAGUAAUUUAUGUUUUAUGGUGGCCAUUAUAGAUGAAAUGUUAUAAAAAUUCUGGAUUGUGUAUCUUCUUUUGAAACCUGUUGAGUUUUGAGUUAAUAUUUGUAUGUGGUGAAAAGUAUGGCUCAAAGUUUCUUUUAUUUUUUGCACAUGAAUAUCCAGUUGUUCCAGCACCAUUCAUUGAAAAGACUCUUCUUUCUCCACUGAAUUGCUUUUGCAUCUUUGUCAAAAUUCAGUUGUCCAUAUAUGUGUGGGUCUAUUUCUGGACGCUCUUCUGUUCUGUUGAUAUAUUUGUCUGUCAUUACAUCAACAUUAUAUUGUUUUGAUUAUCAUAGCUUUAUAAUAAAUCUUGACAUAAGGUAGUUUUAUUCCUCUAAUCUUGUUCUUUUUCAGAGUUGUGACUAAUCUAAGACCUUUGCAUUUUCAUAUGCAUUUUACAAUCAAUUUGUCAGUUUCUACAAAAAAGGCUGCUGGAAUUUUCAUUGGCAUUGUUUUGAAUCUAUAAUCAGUUUUGGGAGGACUUACAUUUUAGUGAUACUGAGUCUUCUGACCUAUGAGCAAGGUAUAUCACUCCCCUUAUUUAGGUCUUCAUUGAUUUCUCAGCAGUAUUUACUACUUUUCAGUGUAUAGGCUGUAUAUAUCUUUUAUCAGAUUUACUCUAAGUAUUUCAUAUUUUGAUGCUGUUGUAAAUGGGAUUUAAAUUUUUUGAUCUUUUGAUUGCUUGUUGCUUGUAUAUAGAAAUACAAUUGAUUUUUGACUAUUGAUUUCUUAUUCUAAAA